rnacentral:ncRNA from 1 species
GUGUUGUAUGAAAGGAGAGAAGGUUAGCACUCCCCUUGACAAGGAUGGAAGAGGCCCUCGGGCCUGACAGCAUGCAUAUGGUUAAGGCACUGACACCUACUUCGUGGCAUCUAACAUACUGAUAUC